UUUCAUGGUGCUUUUUUUUUUUUUUACCUUCCAUGACUUCUCAGUUAAGUUUUCUUGAUUUUUGGUGUUAUGCAGUGUUUGGAGCAUUCAGAGGAAUCAGAUAUGUCAUAUGAUGUUGUGAUGGUUUAGACAUUUUUCGGGCUGGCCAAUUUAUGAGUGGUAGGGCGACCGUGAUUAUGAUUGAAGAGGUACUCCCCUUGGUAACUCUCCUCGGUAAUAACAAAAAACCUUCUCGAUUCUGCCGAAGAAAGUGUGUAAGCCCUCAGUCAUAGUAUGUGGGGAUCACAAGUAUUAGGCCUAAGAGGUGGAACAAGAGUGUUGAAGAAGAAUGAAAGGGGUGUAAUUCAUGCUUUUAAAUGCAAGGACACGAGGAGAAUUAUAGCACUCUUUGCCAACAAUUCAGCAGAAUGUCCAUUUUUUUGGUGUAACGUGCAGUCAUGUAAAAUGUCUCAGAAGGCAUUACUCGAGGUCAUGAAAGGAGGAGCUAUCCCCAUUUCCUUCGACCCAUCAGAGCUGAUUGGUCUCAACCCUACCUUUCCUUUAUGGAUACCCAACUAAAAUACUGACUUAUCAACUGCAGCUGCUAAAAAUCAGAUUUCACACAACCGUGGCAUGCCUCAUACAUAAAAUGGGCCACGUACGUUUUACUGUUUUUGCCUUUCUAGCAAGCUCAAAGUAUAGUUGUAUAACUUUGUUCCAAAACUGAAUGUAUAUAAUAUGAAGCAUAUUAUCUUAAUAUUUAGUUUGAUGA